UACGGGAGGCAGCAGUAGGGAAUCUUCCGCAAUGGGCGAAAGCCUGACGGAGCAACGCCGCGUGAGUGAUGAAGGUCUUCGGAUCGUAAAACUCUGUUAUUAGGGAAGAACAUAUGUGUAAGUAACUGUGCACAUCUUGACGGUACCUAAUCAGAAAGCCACGGCUAACUACGUGCCAGCAGCCGCGGUAAUACGUAGGUGGCAAGCGUUAUCCGGAAUUAUUGGGCGUAAAGCGCGCGUAGGCGGUUUUUUAAGUCUGAUGUGAAAGCCCACGGCUCAACCGUGGAGGGUCAUUGGAAACUGGAAAACUUGAGUGCAGAAGAGGAAAGUGGAAUUCCAUGUGUAGCGGUGAAAUGCGCAGAGAUAUGGAGGAACACCAGUGGCGAAGGCGACUUUCUGGUCUGUAACUGACGCUGAUGUGCGAAAGCGUGGGGAUCAAACAGGAUUAGAUACCCUGGUAGUCCACGCCGUAAACGAUGAGUGCUAAGUGUUAGGGGGUUUCCGCCCCUUAGUGCUGCAGCUAACGCAUUAAGCACUCCGCCUGGG
rnacentral:rRNA from 1 species